rnacentral:rRNA from 1 species
UACGUAGGGUGCAAGCGUUAAUCGGAAUUACUGGGCGUAAAGCGUGCGCAGGCGGUUGUGCAAGACAGAUGUGAAAUCCCCGGGCUCAACCUGGGAAUUGCAUUUGUGACUGCACGGCUAGAGUGUGUCAGAGGGGGGUAGAAUUCCACGUGUAGCAGUGAAAUGCGUAGAGAUGUGGAGGAACACCCGAUGGCGAAGGCAGCCCCCCUGGGUCAAGACUGACGCUCAUGCACGAAAGCGUGGGGAGCAAACAGG